rnacentral:rRNA from 1 species
UACGAAGGGUGCAAGCGUUACUCGGAAUUACUGGGCGUAAAGCGUGCGUAGGUGGCGAGUUAAGUCUGAUGUGAAAUCCCCGGGCUCAACCUGGGAAUGGCAUUGGAUACUGGCUCGCUCGAGUGCGGUAGAGGGUGGUGGAAUUCCCGGUGUAGCAGUGAAAUGCGUAGAGAUCGGGAGGAACAUCUGUGGCGAAGGCGGCCACCUGGACCAGCACUGACACUGAGGCACGAAAGCGUGGGGAGCAAACAGG